AUGCAUACGAAGUUGUUGACACAUUUCAAGAAUGACGUCUAAUUGUCGAGGGAACGCAAGUGCUUCGGGACAAAGAGGUCGGAAUGCUUCUAAUGAAACUAGAACUAGAGUAAGUUUGAAAGUUAAAUAUUUUACUUAAUGAUAUAGAUGCAAAAGAUGCAAUUAAUUAAUAUAUAUAUAUAUAUAUAUAUAUUGUAAUUUGUAGACUACAGAGAGAUUUAAAUGGACGUACGAACAAGAGAAAAAAUUGAUUGAAUUGUUUGAUGAGGCAAUUUCCAUGUCAAAUUAUAGUCUCAAAGAUCCUAAGGCUCAUGGCAGAGUAUAUGGUUGAAAAUUCAAUCUUGCAUUUAACAUGAAUAUAACUUACGCAUUUUUCAAAAAUAAGCUUGAUGAGUUCAAAAAAUCAUACAAGAUGUAGAAGUUUCUGAUGAAAUCCACCGGCAUUUCGGUGGAUCCUGAAACAUCUAUGAUUUACGCAUCUCCGGAGUGGUGGGAUAAUCACGAGGCGGUAAUAAUUAAUAAAUAUUAUAUUUAUAUUAUCAACUAUUAAGACACAUAUAACUAAAUUGAAAUUAUAUAUAUAUAUAUAUAUAUAUAUAUAUAUAUAUAUAUAUAUAUAUAUCUUUUAUAUGGAUGUAAAAUAACAAAAUCGUUCAACCGAGAGACACCAAAAUUUUGGGAUGUAAUGGUACGGUAUUUUGCAUUACAUGAUGUAUAUUCGCAACCACAAUAUUCUGCGCGACAAAGAAGAAAAGAGAUAAUGAAUGAGGGACGAGCUGAUGAUUCCACACAUGGAAACUCAUAUUUCAAAGGGGGUGACAUGCCAGACACUGAAGUUCUAGAGAUUAAAGAAAAUGAAGAAGUAUAUCGCGUCAAGAUAUGAAUGAGAGGUAUAUGGCAGAGAUCAAGUCACAAGAUCCUGGAAAUUCAAUUGUGGGACAUAAGAUGAGUGUGGUCCCAUAUUGGAAAUUUAGACAAAGAGUGUCUGAUAUACAAAGAGAUGUCAAACUCUAAUUAGUACGAAUGCCUUUUGGGAAAGAUCCCAAAAGUAAAUUCAUGCGGACUUGUCUCUUAUGCCCAAAGUGGAAAAUAUCGUACUAAUCAGACAAUAAAGAAUUAGACAUGAGCUUAAUAAAUCCCAACACCCUCAACGUCAGACCGCAUCUUUUGUCCUUUGUCUCGAACAGAACCAGGAUUGAUCGAUCUGGUUGGUCGGCUCGUUUCCAACCAACUUUCUGGAUAUUUUCAGAACAGGUACCUGGAAUUUUAGCUAUUUUCAUGUUGACCCUAAAUUUCUUUAAUUUGCACAUUGUCCUUUUUAUUUUAUAUCAAAGAAAAUGGACACAUAUAAGCAAUGUAGACACCUAAAUACACAUCUAAACAGCGUAAAACAACAUAUAUCAUUGUAUAGAAAUUUUAAAAUAUGUAUUUAGAAAUGUAAGAAGACAAAUCAAAUUGAUAUCACUCAAUUACUCUAAGGAGUGAUUUACUCUCUCAAAUAAGAGGUUCAACUGUUGUAUUUAUGGAUCUAAUCCACAAGGAACUAGGACACACAAUAGAUCUAAACAGUUUAUGAUUAAGCUAGGUAAAUUAUGAAAAUAGUAAAUUGCAAGUAAGCGAACAAGGUAGUUGUUCAGUUGAUUGGUUUAAGGUUUUGUAAACAAUUAUUAGAAAGCAUUAGAUCUAGGGUUUCUAUUUAGGUAGUUGGCAUUAUAGAGGUAUAUAAUACUUAAAUGUCAAUCCUAGAACUCGACUUAUAGUGUAAAGAUAUCCAGCUUUUGCAUGUGAGUCUUAUGUUUUGACUAAGUCCAAUAUCUUAGAUGCCGCUUGUUGAUACGAACUGAACGUCGAUCGAUGUUAUGGUAAGAAUGUCGAUCGAUGUUCUCUUAGACGUGCGUUAGCGAGUUGAUCGAUAGGUCACUAGUAUUAUCUAAAUCAGCUUCCGCUUGUUUCUAGCAAUAAUAGCUCAAAUGAAUUAGUUUUGGUGCAGAACCUACCGACGUAGCAGAACCUACCGUCGUAGUUGUCCACAAUCCUAAGUUCAAGGUUCUAUUAAUUAACCAUAAUUCUUUGAAGGAUAUUUAUCACCUUAGCAAUUCUAUAUUUUGGGCUAAUCCCUCUUAACCGAUUUGGACCCUAAAUCUAGCAAGUGAAUUACUCAUACAUAGCAAAACAAUUCAUAAGCAUAAACUGAAUAAAAUGCAUAAACAGAUUAAAGUUAGAAAUACAGGAGUUCCAAUACAAAUCUCUGAAGGAGUCUUGGAUAUUCUCUCCAAAUCUACUAAAAACCCUAAGUGUUGUUUGAUGUGAAAAGUAGAAAGUAAAAAAGCGUGUUUUGCCUAGAACAAUGACAGAGCACAUAAAUAUUAGGUUAAAAGUCGGAAAGGGGUAUUUCUUUAAACAUGUCGUGACUUGGGAUUUUAGCUUGCUGGAAACCUAGCUGAGUUUUGCGCGGUUUCGCUGUCGAUCGACGGUACAGGGUGUGCGUCGAUCAAUGUUUGUCUCUGAUCGUCUACAUUCAGACAUGUUCGAUGGUCAGCUACGAGCUUCCUCUCAUUUUAUCUCUAAAAUGCAUCCAAAUCAUCGCUUUUUACAAAACACUCAUGAACAUGUACAUGUGUUAAAAAGACUUCAAAACAUAAUAAAUAGUUCCUAAAAUACCUAUAUACCAUGGCUAAAAAUGGGUAAAAUCAAUGGUAUAUCAAAAACCUAAUGAAAAAAAAAAAUCCAUAUUUUAGCCUAACUAGAUCUAAAAAACUAGCUAAUUCAAUUUAGAGUAACUGUUGUAAUUUGAUAUCUCAUGAUUUUAAUAAGUUUUAGAUUCAUCUUUUACCUUAUUAUGAUCAUUUUAGGUUGCAUUUAGGUCUUUGUGUUGCAUAUGCAUACUCAUUUGCAUAUCAUAAGGUUUGGAAUGCUCGUUUGAGAAGUUUGGGGCUAAACCGUGGGUUAUUCUUGCUAUUUACAAAGUUUGGGUCCGAAUUGAAAACAUCCAGAAGUUCAAGGUCCAUCUCUGCAAAUUUAGAAUACUCGCUUGGGUUAUUUUUCACAAUCAAAAGAUUCGGGGCCAAUUCGAGAGGUCCUUUAUGCAACUAUAAGAGUUUGGGGCGAAUGUGUAAAUAAUCAAGAUUCCGGGGACCUGUUUUGCAAUUACUGAAGAAAUCACCAUUGGAGAGAACGAGCUUUCUCUUGGUCGAUCUGUAGGCGACGGCGUGGCUGAGAGCACGACGAAGACGUGGAGAUAGAGAGGCCGUGAGCCAGUGACGACGAAGCCUGAAGAUAAGACCUCCACGAGCGCCAACGGCUAUGGCUGGCUCCAGCGACGUUGCGACGAAGGAGAAGCACUCCAGGGCUUCAGGACAAGCUGUCACGGCUCGAUCUGAGACCAAGACGGUGAUUCUGAGCACAGCCACAGAAUGAUGAUGAUGACGGCAUGAAUCGUGGAGGCGCGUCGUGACAACGAUUGAAGUCUCCGCCAUGACGGAGGAUAUGAAGCUCGACGACGCAGGUUGAAGGCUCGCGGGAUCGUGAACCCACGCGCACGAAGAGGAAGAUGCGUCGACGUCUCGACUCGGGUUGAAGGCACGCGGGACAGCCUUACCGCGCGCACGAAGAGGAGCGAUCGACGGCCUAAAGCGGGUUGGGGCACGCGGGUUCGCCUACCCGCGCGCAUGACAAAAGAGUUUCAACGACGGUCCAACGCGGGAGAGUGGCUCGGGUGGGAGUUGGAGAUUUCAACCCGGGUCGAAUCUUUGCCUUAGUCGAAUUUUAAUGUUUUUAAAGGGCUUUUUAGAUUUUUUUUAAUAGAAACAAUUAGAUUUACCAAAGCCAUAUAAAUACUUUUGUAAUCCGAAGAGGGGAGAUCAUCUUAUUUUCUAUCUAAUCACAAAGAAUUUUGAGUCGAAAGAUCUAAUCUUGAUCAUUAUCUUUUGUGAUUGCUUAGAUUAUAUUGAUCACUAAUUAUGAUUAACACCAAAUCAUUAUUGAUUCUUGGGUUUAUCAUGACAAUUAGUGAGUAGUCAUCUUUAGAUUCAUGGAUUAGGGAGACUAAGAAUGAUUAAGCUAGAUCUAAGGUGUUUUAGUAUAGAUCCAUCUUGUUCUUUGCUAGUAGAGUGCUUUUAAUGCAAUUUUAGAGUUGGCCUCUCUAAAGUUGAGCUUUAAGCAUUUCACACCCGAAAGGUGUUCGAUGAAAUGCAUGAACCAACUCUACUAUGCUUUUAACAUUCUUUACCAAAGAGAUUUGAUGUUAAAGAUGUUAAGAUGACUAAUAGACUUGAACUUAAUGAUUGCUUAUAUAAUAUUCAACCAAAGAGAUUUGAUGCUUGAGUUAUCUUAGUGAAUGAGCAUUCAUCUAGAAAUAGAGUUUGUUUAGGAUUGUGUCUAGGUCUAAGGUUGAUAGAUUGAUUGAAAAGUAUCACCUUUAGAUUGAAACUUGAUCACCCAAGGUCAAUUCCCUUAGCCCAUGAGUUCUUCCAUUCCAUAAGAAAAGAAAGUUUUAUUUUUUAUUGCAUUUUAGUAGUUUUCUAGUUCAAAAUCAUCUCACCAAUUGAUAGCACUUAGAUUAAGCAUGAUCUUGCAUUCCCUUUACUUUAGAAUCACUUAGAACUGGUUUAACAUCUUUUAUACUACAUUGAUUUGAUCUUGAACCCUUGAAAAGUCCUUCAUCAUAAUUCAAUAUGUUAAAAUAAAUAAUCAAACUGGUUUGAAUUCUUACACCUAAAAUUAUAUGUCUAACUAUGAUAACAAUAUAUACAAUUAAAUAAAAUUUUAUUUAUUUUUCAUAGAUAUAAAUUUUAUAAGCAUUUUAAAAUUUCUAAACAAAUGAAAGAGUAAUAUUAAUCAGUUAUUACGAUUUAGUUACUAUAUGAAUAUUUAAAUAUGUGUAUCAGUUUUCGAAUAUUAUUGUAUAUAUUGGCUUAUGCAACUCUAAUUGUAUUAAUACUUAGCAACUCCAGACCGCUACGCUCUGGUCGCUACGACACUUAGUCUUUUCUAGGCUCCCUUCUCGUAGCGACCAUACCAUGUAGCUACGUGUGGCCACUGUGGAUUCUGCUUGUUAGAUAGCGACCACCUGAAGUCUUGUUGCUUUGAUAUUUAGUCCAUAAAUCUGUUUACGCCUCAUUAUUUACUCUUUUGACUCAAAGUACUCUAUUCACCUCCAAAUUCACCAAUUAGCCUCUACAACACCUAAUAACGGCCAAUGCAAUGCAAAAUUCUCUAAAUUCAUCAAAGUGAUGUCCAAAAUGAUGUUAAAGAUCCCUAAAUGAUGGUUGAGAACAUGCAAAAACACAAUACAUCAAUCUAAACCUAUAAAACUUGUUGAUUAUUUUGUUUGUCAUCUCAUAUUGAACCUUGAUCAUCAUAUAUCGAUUAAUUUGUCCUAUGGAUCCACCUUUAUCAUUUGAUUGAAACUUAAUUUUAUUCUUUCGUAUUUGAAUUUGAGAUCACAUUUGUUUAAAUUCCGUAGGAUUGUUACUUAGUUACUAAACAUCACCUUUAUUGUUUAUAUUAAGUCAUUGUUUGUAUUCUUUUUGCUUGUGAUCUUCCUAGAUUAGAUUGACUCCCUACACGCUACAAUGACUUGAUUGAGCUUGCAAUCUAGUGUUUAAGGAAUUAAACUUUUUACACAUCACAAAAUAAUUAUUACUAAUCAAAUAAACCUAUAUUAUUGAGUUUUGAAAAAAAUAACUUAAGCAUGAUUCAUAAAAAGAAUCUCAAAUAUUUUAUUUUUCCUUUUUGUUAUUUUAUAAAAUAAAAUAAAAAUUAUGAAUUAAGACUAAAAUAGAAAUAUUGAUAAUGACAAAAAGGCAAUUUGUCAGAACUUGACUCAAAAUUUGAAUUUGAAUGCAAAUCUAUACCCUAAAAUAAAAUAAAUGAAAAAGUAACUUAAAAGAUAGAAAGAAUACAAUUAUGCUCUUAUGACCAAACAAAAGAACUGUAUACAUUUUUUUACUGUUAUAACCCUAAAAAUACUUCUUGAGACAAUGAAAGCUUCUACAAGAAGACUUCUCAAGAAGAUUACUCUUGUAUUUAAUGUUAAAAUUAAUUUAUAAUUUUUUAAGAAAAUUAUUGAUUAAAAAUAAAUUCAAAUCAUGUAAAUAUAAACAAUUAUAUAUCAUGUAAAUUUUAAAUUUAAUAAAAUUGAAUUGUUUUCACAUAGAUAAGUGAAUAUAUAUUGCAACUAAUGUUCAAGUAAUGUUGAAAAUUUUAGGGUUAGAUUUUUUAAUUUUAAAUAUAUAUAUUUGAAAUUAAAAUUUGAUGUAAGUGUUUAGUUUUUUAUAUAUUAAAAAUUUCAUCAGUUGAUUUUAUACUUAAUAAAGUGGUUAUUUCUAUCUAAUUAAACUAUUUGAUUUUAGAGUUUAAAGUAGAAGAUUUCUUAAGAAGUAUGCCAAGAACUUAUACAAAACUUCUUUAGAAAUUUUAUGGAACGUAAGGUAAAUUUAGAGUUGAAUAGACUUCUUGAGAAGUCUACUAUCAUGUGAUGCAUUAGCAGAUUUCUUGAGAAGGCUGGUAAAUUGUAAUGCAUUACCGGACUUCUCGAGAAGUUUUCUACACCCAACUUUUUAACAUAAUUGGAAUUUUUUUCUUUUUAUAUAAUUUUUUUUUUACACAUUUCCUCACUUUCUCUCAAAUGGUUGUAACAAAAGUGUAAAGUUUCUUUCUCUAAAAUUCUUUAAUUUUUCUCUAAUCUCUUAACACCAAACUUUAUAUCAAUAUCUCGUCUCUUUGUUUAAUGUCUUUCUCACCCAUAUAUCUUCUUCUUCUUUUUCUUUUGCAAGUUGUUCAUUCCAUGAUUUCCAUUCCCCCUCCUGAAAAGGUAAAUUUAUAAAUUUUAAAUAUGUAUUUUGGUGUGUUUUACGUGUUAGACUCUAAUAAAAAUAUAGAUUCAUCCCAAUGUUAUUGUUUUGUUUAUUAGUUAAGCAUAAAAUUUUAAUUUUUUGAAGUUCUUUUUUUUUGAAGCUAUUUUUAAUGUUUUUGAAUUUGCAAGUUUUCCGAUUUGAGAACAAUAUAUCAUACUUCAGACUUUUUUAUAAGAAUUUAUUAUUAGAAUCAUGUUAUGCAAACUGCCAAAAUAUGUCAGAUUUUAUUUUUCACCAAUUGUUUUGUAUGUUAAACUAAAUAAAAUUAGGAAAAAUUGCCAAAACGGAACAAAAAUUCAGCAUGGUUGUUCUCUUUAAUGUAUUUUUUUCAUAAUCCCAAAACUAACCUUUGAUUAAUCUUUUUUUUUUUUUUGUCGUCAACUAUUACAUACUCAUACGGACUCUGUAAACUAAACCGGGUGAUCUGCAUCCAUGUGAACGACAAAAGACGGUUGCUUCCUAGCACUGCGUGCUAGUCUAUCCGCCAUUGUAUUUUGCGUCCUUGAUACAUAGAUGAUCUCUGAUCUGGUGAAGCUCUCUUUUAGGGUCUUGACAUCCUCCAAGUAAUUUGCAAAAGCUGGUCAUUCAUCUGGUUCCGAAACCAUCUUCACCAAUUGAGAACAAUCCGUUGCAAACGUAAGGUGAAACUGACGUAAAUUCCUCAUACAUUCCAUUGCCCAAACUGACGUAAACUGACGUAACCUUUGAUUAAUCAAAUUAGUCAAAUAAAUACAUUUUAAUAGUAUUUAAAUAUUAAAAAACGAAAUAAAAAUAAAAAAUUAAUAAAAAAUAUAUAUUUAUAAAUAAUUUUAAGUCAAUAUUAUAGAAUAUAUUAAUAAAACUAAUAAUAUAAUAUAUUUAACGUUUUUAUAUUAAUAUAAUUUUUUUGAUAUAAACAAUUUAAUUCAAAAUAAUUAUAUAUAUUAAUUAAUUAAUAAAAAGAAAUGAAUAUAUAGAUAAAAAUUAAUUAACAUAAAGAGAACCCAAAAAAAAAUUUAAUAUUUUUUUAUAAACUGUACAUUUAAAUUUACAGAUAUUUCCAAAAUAUCGACAAAAAGUUUUUAUACGAUAUUCCACAAUAUUUAGUGUAUGUUAACUAUUUUAUAAAUUAUUUAAAUAUCUUAAAAUUUUAUUAAAUAUUUUAAAUGUUUAAUCAUAUUUGAUAAAUAAUUUUAUACUUUAAACAGUUAUAAUAAGUAACACUUAUAUACUAAUAUUUUUACUGGCAAAAAAAUAAUACUAAUAUUUUUUCGAUACUUAUAUACUUAAAUUCAAUUAUUACUUUUAAUAUAUAAUGUUAAUUAAAAAUAAAAUAUUAUCAUGCAUAGCAUGGACAAUAACAGUUAUAUAUUCCCGUGAUAUACACAAUUGAAUUUCAGAUAAUUCUAUAAAUAAAAAUAUUAAUAAAAAAAUAUAUACAUAUAUAAUUUUUAGUCUAUAUAUGUUUGUAAAUAUUUCAAAAACAUUGAAUAUAUAUAUAUAUAUAUAUGUUUGUAAACAUAUCAAAAAUCAAAAAUAUUUGGUUAUAACGUUUUAGGCAUGCACAAAGAUUACAAUUAUGUUUAGAAUAUUUUUGCGACCAAAUAUACACCUUUUAGGAAGUUAGAAUAUUUCAAAUAUUUUUAGAAUAUUUUCUUAUCUGAAAAUUCUUUAAUUUUCGCAAAAAUCAGAUAUUCUUAUCUGUAUAAUGCAUUUUCUACACUGCGUAGAGCGAAGACAAAAAUUCUAUAAAUAGAUUCUACCUCAUGUAACCGUCAAAGUAAUGUUUAGAUUUCACAUUCCGGGAAUUGGAGAAUACGUAAUAAAAGUAGAAGAUGCAUUCUACUGAAGAGUAGCUAUCUUUACAAUUAGUAGAAUUCACAUUCCCUCUAAUUAGAAUUUUAAAUAAAAUUAGAUUGUUCGUUCUUAAAAAAAUAGACGAACUUGUUUAAUCUACUAACCCAUUUUCUAUAGAAGAUGAAUUCUACUUUUAGUAGAAGGUAAUUUUAAAAUUUAAUUUAUCAAGUUUUUCAACAAAAAAAAUAUCAGUUUGUGUAUAUGGGUGUUUUAUCAAUUAUUUCCAUUUUUUUACAAUUUUUUAUUCACUAAAACUAUUUAUUUUAUUAACUUUUAGAAUUGGAAAAGGUAAAAAGGAGAAAAAGUGGACAAAAUUUUUUUUGAUACCAAAACGGAACAAAAUUGGGCAUGGUUGUCCCUUUAGUAUAAAUUAAGAUACUUUUUUUUUGGGGUCAAACAUUAAUAUAAAUUAAGAUACAUAUCUUAAAAAUUAUAUAUAGAUAUAUAUAUCUAUAUAUAUAGUGUGUGUGUUUAAUAUGUUAAAAUCAAAUAAAAUACAAAUUCAUUGUAAUCAUAUAUUUUAUUAUUUUUGUUGUAAAAGUUAUAGUUUCAAACAAAAGAAGUAUAUUUUUGGUUUUGUAUGUUAGAUUCAAAUAAUUAUAUAUUAAAAUUAUUGUAAUUGUUUUCUUCUUAUUUAAUUCUAAAAGUUUUAUUUUUCAAAGUUUUUUUCUACUUUGAAACCAUUUUAAACAUUUUCGGAUAUGAUGUUUUUCAGAUCUGAAGACUAUAUCUUACUUCAUUAACACAUUUUUUGAGAAGACUUCACCAAAAAAGUCUGAUAAACUAAUAUUUAAGCAGGAAUUAAAAAAAUUAAUGAAAUUUGAUCGCAAAUUAGAAGAUUUCUGGAGAAGCCUACUAAUUUGGGAUCAAAUUUCAUUGAAAAUUUUAAUUUCCCGUUUAGGGUUAGGAGACUUCUUCAAGAAGUUUUCUAACCUAUAAUGCAUUACGAAACUUUUCGAAGAAAUCUUUUAUAAGAGAUGCUUUCGAAUAAUUUGGACAAUAGUGUUCUUAAUCAUAUUUCACUUUCAGCCAUUGGUUGUAUAGUAAGAAAAAAUGUAAAGAGAUGAUUUUGUUUUGAUGUUUUUAUAAUAUUAUAAACAAUAUGUCUACUUUGUCUUCAAUCUAUUAGAAGUUAUGUAUUUACUACUUAACAAAUUCCUUCAAAUGAUCACAUUAUAAUAUCACAUAUGUUUAAACUGACGUAUUACUUUUGACACGACACGACACAAGUUCAAUAUAACAAAGUCAAACAUAUCACAUUAUAAUAUGACAUAUGUUUAAACUGACGUAUUACUUUUUUGUGUUUACGUAAGUUUAAACAUCUGACAUCGCAAAUUUUAACAAAAUAUUUAUGUGUCAAACUUAUAUUUUAAACUUUUUAAACUGAACCAUUCUGCAAAAAUGACAUUAAAACACAUUAGCAAAUAUAAAUCAUCAUCUUCAAACUUUUUAUCAGACCACACUUCUCUGAUAAAAAAACAGAUAGCAUAGCACGCAGUGUAAAGAAGCAAUCGUCUUUCGUCAUUCACAUGGAUACAGUUCUCCCGAUGUGGUUCAAAGACUAUGUAUAAGUUAUUGACAACAAAAAAAACCAGAGCACAUUUCUCAAGGGGUUAACCUCAUCAUUAUAUUCAAUAAUAUUAUAAAAUUCGAUUAGGAGGUCUAAAAUUAAUAAAUACACAUGAAUAAACAAAGAAAAUAUUCAAAGUUUAUUUAAAAGUUGGAAAAAAGGUAAGUUUACAGUUACAAAGUAAUGAAAGAAUACUUCUCAAGAAGUGUACUUUAAUGUUAUUUAUUCAGUUACAAAGUAAUGAAAGAAUACUUCUCAAGAAAUCUGCUCAAUUAGCAUAUUUCUUAAGAAAUAUUUUAUUUUAAUUUAUUGGGUAAUUUUUGAAUUUGGAUAAUUUUUUUAUUUUACCAGAGCAGACAUCUUUAGAAUUUUUCUCUAAUAAUCAUGUUAAUUUUGUAAUUAGCCAAAAUUUUACAAAAAAAUAUUUUUCAUAGAAGAAUUAUGGAAAAAUUUACUGUGAGUAGAUUUCUGAAAAGGAUUUUUUACUAUUUCACAAAAUCUCCAAAAUGUCGCAGGAAACCUGAGUAGGAUAAUUUUGAAAUUGAAAAUGUUUGACUUUAUAAGAAAAGACCUCUUCGUAAGUUAGUUUUAAAUAUACCUAUUUUUAUUUUUAACUAAUAAAAAAAAAUAAAAAUAUUUGUCCUUUUUGUAAAUUAAUCUUAGUACAAAAUAUUUUAUGUGUUAAAUUUGAUUGGCUUUUAGAAUUGGCGACUUUUAAAACCAACUUUACAUAAUAAUAUUACAAAAUAUACAGAAUAAUAAUUAUAAUAUAUUAAAAAAAUUUAAAAAUAAAUUUAUGUGUACCAUAGUUAUAUAUAUAUAUAUGUGUCUGUGUGUGUGUGUAUGUGUGUGUGUGUGUAAUUUUAUAUUGUAAUGUAACAUCUUGUAGACUAAUAUUUUUGGGCUUAUUUAAUAUAUACUUUAGUCUAUAAUUUUAAUGAAGUAUAGUUUUGCAAUUAUAAUAUUUCUUAAUUUAUUAAUUUAUUAUAACAUUUUCCGGUAGAUGUUGUUUGAUAAUCCAUAUCUCAAUCCAAAACAAAAUCUGAAGGUUACUUAAAAUUUGGAGUGACUUUCAGAGUUCUUUAUUUUAGAACCAUUACCUUAUAAAAGUAUUUUUAAUUUACAUAUAUAUAUUUAUUUUACAGUCAAAAUAUUAUAAAUUUUAGUUUUAUUACUUAAUAAUUAUAUUAUGACAUAGAAAAUGAUAAAAAUAAAGACUAUUUAGUUUUUGAAAAAAAUAAAUGGGUAAAAAUUGUAAUUUAAAUAUAAAAAUAAUAAAUAACUAAAAAUAAAUAUGCUUAGUUUUACUAUAAGAAAGUUAAAAUUUUGUUAUUAUAAAGUACUGCUCCUUUUAUCCUAUUAAUAGAAUCAUAUAUUUGUAUAUUUUGUUAAAAAAAAUAUCAUUUUAUUGUUUAUUAAAUUGUGUUAUAUUUUCAACUGGCUCAGUUUGAAACUAAAAUUUUAAAUUAACGAACAAUGAUGUAUAUAAUUUUGAUUGCAGUUAUUAAUACAAAUUUCAUGAUUUUAAUUAUUUAUUUUUGAUAGUAAGCAUCUUAAUGCAUAAUACAAAUUUUUAUUUUCUAUUAAUGGUUGUCUUUUGGGACAAACAUCUUAAAAGUUAGUAGUUUUUACGAUGAUGCUCUAAUAUAUCGUAAAUUGACUAAAACAGUGCCAUAUUUUAAACUUUGUUGACGAUUCAAAGCAUCUCUAUGUCCAAGUUGGCAUUUACAUGGAUAUGUGAAUACAUAAAAAGUUCUUUUUCCGAUAAAGAUAUUUUUGCAGUUGCACUUUUGUGACAAGAAUCCAUGAAGCCCUUAUCCUUUUGCUCAUUGUAAAGAUAUAACAGGACGAUAGUGACCAUGUGCAUUCUAAAAGUUGUAUUUCCUAAAAAAGUACACAUAACCAAAUAUGUGCAUGCUCUUAAAACCUAAUAGAAGUCUUAUUUAAAUCUACUAAUUUCUAACUCAUAAUCGAGAAAUACUUUCAAGAAAGAAGAAAAGAAAAUAAUGGAGAAAAUUGGGGAUAUGGAGGGCAAGAUGGUGGAAAUGGGGAUAUGGUCUAUGCCGUGUCCCGAGGCCUCCACGCCUCAACUCUCUCGAAUAAAGUAUUGCGGCUCUUGGAUGAGCUCGUACGGUGGUUGGACCUUGUUCUUGUGCAGUUGUUGGUCUACCGGGCGGCUCGUCUUACUGCGGUUGUGCUUCUGGAGGGUUAGAUACCUUUCUAUCCGCUAUCUCUAUAUGGGGUUCCAGUUCAAUGGGUGUAAACGGUCACAACGAGUUGGAGUGGAGACGACAAUUUUUGGGACGACUCGAUGAACGACGGCAUCGUUUCCGGGUGUUUCGGGUCGUGUUCCGAUUCUUUGUCGGCUCUGGUUUCGACAGAGCGGUCUGAAGCUGUAAUAGCCGUAGCUUCAAGGUUUAAGGGCACAUUUCUCUCGGUAGCGCGCCCGGCUCUCAUUAUAGACUGGUCUCGGUUUGUAAGGUCCGCGCUUGGCUCGUAACUAACCUGGUUCUUAGUCUUUGUCCCUCUACCUUCGUGUUCGUUUCAUUCCGUUUAGUUAUGUUGUUUAGUUUCAUUUUCUGCAUUCCGUUAUUUGUUUACUAUGUAAUAUCUGUCACAAAUUUAAAAAUUGGUAUAACCAAAAACAAGUUUAUCAUGA